GCAUCCAUGGCUGAAUGGUGAAAGCGCCCACCAACCUAGAAAGGUAAAAUGGGUCAAAAAGUAGGUUCGAUUCCUGCCGGAUGCA
rnacentral:tRNA from 1 species